rnacentral:rRNA from 1 species
UACGUAGGAGACGAGCGUUGUCCGGAGUUACUGGGCGUAAAGGGUGCGCAGGUGGCGGCGCGCGUGGGGGGUGAAAUCGCCCGGCUUAACUGGGCGGGGGCCUUCCAGACGGCGUGGCUUGAGCAGCGGAGGGGGACGUGGAAUUCCGGGUGGAGCGGUGAAAUGCGUAGAGAUCCGGAGGAACACCGACGGCGCAGGCAGCGUCCUGGCAACUUGCUGACACUGAGGCACGAAAGCUGGGGGAGCAAACAGG